rnacentral:rRNA from 1 species
AAGCGAUGGGGUGACGCAGGAAGGUAGUCCAGCCCAGGCGAUGGUUGUCCUGGGGUAAGCAUGUAGGGCGUGUCGUAGGUAAAUCCGCGGCAUUUAAGUCUGAGAUGUGAUGCCGAGCCGAUUGUGGUGAAGUGGAUGAUCCUAUGCUGCCGAGAAAAGCCUCUAGUGAGUGUUGUGGCGGCCCGUACCCUAAACCGACUCAGGUGGUCAGGUAGAGAAUACCAAGGCGAUCGGGUGAACUGUGGUUAAGGAACUCGGCAAAUUGCCCCCGUAACUUCGGGAGAAGGGGGACCUCUGUUGGUGAUGGGCUUUACGCCUGGAGCUGGUGGGGGUCGCAGUGGCCAGGGGGAAGCGACUGUUUACUAAAAACACAGGUCCGUGCGAAGUCGUAAGACGAUGUAUACGGACUGACGCCUGCCCGGUGCCGGAACGUUAAGGGGACCGCUUAGCUGACGUGAGUUGGCGAAGGUGAGAACUUAAGCGCCGGUAAACGGCGGUGGUAACUAUAACCAUCCUAAGGUAGCGAAAUUCCUUGUCGGGUAAGUUCCGACCUGCACGAAUGGCGUAACGACUUCCCCGCUGUCUCAACCGCAGACCCGGCGAAAUUGCACUACGAGUAAAGAUGCUCGUUUCGCGCAGCAGGACGGAAAGACCCCGGGACCUUCACUACAGCUUGACAUUGGCGUUUGGAACGUCUUGUGUAGGAUAGGUGUAGACUGGGAAGCUGUCACGCUAGUGAUGGUGGAGUCAUUGGUGAAAUACCACUCUGGUCGUUUUGAACGUCUAACUCUGGUCCGUGAUCCGGAUCGGGGACAGUGUCUGGUGGGUAGUUUAACUGGGGCGGUUGCCUCCUAAAGAGUGACGGAGGCGCCCAAAGGUUCCCUCAGCCUGGUUGGCAAUCAGGUGUUGAGUGUAAGUGCACAAGGGAGCUUGACUGUGAGACUGACAGGUCGAGCAGGAGCGAAAGCUGGGACUAGUGAUCCGGCAUCGGCGUGUGGAAGCGGUGUCGCUCAACGGCUAAAAGGUACCCCGGGGAUAACAGGCUGAUCUUCCCCAAGAGUCCAUAUCGACGGGAUGGUUUGGCACCUCGAUGUCGGCUCGUCGCAUCCUGGGGCUGGAGUAGUCCCAAGGGUUGGGCUGUUCGCCCAUUAAAGCGGUACGCGAGCUGGGUUUAGAACGUCGCGAGACAGUUCGGUCCCUAUCCGCUGCGCGCGCAGGAGACUUGAAGGGGGCUGUCCCUAGUACGAGAGGACCGGGACGGACGAACCUCUGGUGUCCAGUUGUACCGCCAGGUGCACGGCUGGUUGGCUACGUUCGGAAGGGAUAACCGCUGAAAGCAUCUAAGCGGGAAGCUCGCCUUGAGAUGAGGUCUCCCACCACGAGAGUGGGUAAGGCUCCCGGUAGACGACCGGGUUGAUAGGCCGGAGGUGGAAGCACGGUAACGUGUGGAGCUGACCGGUACUAAUAGGCCGAGGACUUGGCC